rnacentral:rRNA from 1 species
UGGGGAAUAUUGCACAAUGGGCGCAAGCCUGAUGCAGCAACGCCGCGUGAGGGAUGACGGCCUUCGGGUUGUAAACCUCUUUUAGCAGGGAAGAAGCGAAAGUGACGGUACCUGCAGAAAAAGCGCCGGCUAACUACGUGCCAGCAGCCGCGGUAAUACGUAGGGCGCAAGCGUUAUCCGGAAUUAUUGGGCGUAAAGAGCUCGUAGGCGGUUUGUCGCGUCUGCUGUGAAAUCCCGAGGCUCAACCUCGGGUCUGCAGUGGGUACGGGCAGACUAGAGUGCGGUAGGGGAGAUUGGAAUUCCUGGUGUAGCGGUGGAAUGCGCAGAUAUCAGGAGGAACACCGAUGGCGAAGGCAGAUCUCUGGGCCGUAACUGACGCUGAGGAGCGAAAGGGUGGGGAGCAAACAGGCUUAGAUACCCUGGUAGUCCACCCGUAACGUUGGGAACUAGUUGUGGGGUCCAUUCCACGGAUUCCGUGGACGCAGCCUAACGCAUUAAGUUCCCCGCCUGGGGAGUACGGCCGCAAGGCU